UCACUCCAGAAGAUUUAAGUGCCUUCAUAAAAUAUUCGGAUGGUAAUAUCUGCCUCUUGGAGCCUCCUGUCCCAACAGUACCCCAUCCAGUUGUCAGUAGCCUACUCCAUACACCAUCAAUUAUGACACAUAGUAUUAUAAAGUGUACUCUAUGAAAUAAUCAUCUUCACAGGAUGAUGGGGAUGAAGAAACUGUUUCUGCUGCCACAGACAGGCCUAGAGAGAGUGUGGAAGAACAGCAGGAGGAAGGUCCAUCAACUUCUGGUGCACAGAUGGACACAGUUCAGUGAUUUACAGUAAAUGCCAGUUUCAUUCUGAAUUGUAGACUACAUUCAUGAUGUGACUCUAAUCUAAUGUAUUUUCAGUUGCCAGUUAAGGAGUUAUAUAGACUUCUUAUUAAAAAGAUAGAAAAAAACAGCAAAGAACUUGUAUACUUGGACCGCCAGAUCCAAAAGGCAGAUCUGGAAAUCGACAUUCUGAAACUAAAGC